rnacentral:rRNA from 1 species
UACGGGGGGGGGUAAGCGUUGUUCGGAAUUACUGGGCGUAAAGGGCUCGUAGGCGGCCAACUAAGUCAUACGUGAAAUCCCUCAGCUUAACUGGGGAACUGCGUGUGAUACUGGAUGGCUUGGAUUUGGGAGAGGGAUGCGGAAUUCCAGGUGUAGCGGUGAAAUGCGUAGAUAUCUGGAGGAACACCGGUGGCGAAGGCGGCAUCCUGGACCAAUAUUGACGCUGAGGAGCGAAAAGCCAGGGGGAGCAAAACGGG